GAUGAACGCCGGCGGCGUGCCUAAUACAUGCAAGUCGAGCGAACGGACGAGAAGCUUGCUUCUCUGAUGUUAGCGGCGGACGGGUGAGUAACACGUGGAUAACCUACUUAUAAGACUGGGAUAACUUCGGGAAACCGGAGCUAAUACCGGAUAAUAUUUUGAACCGCAUGGUUCAAAAGCGCAAGACGGUCUUGCUGUCACUUCUAGAUGGAUCCGCGCUGCAUUAGCUAGUUGGUAAGGUAACGGCUUACCAAGGCAACGAUGCAUAGCCGACCUGAGAGGGUGAUCGGCCACACUGGAACUGAGACACGGUCCAGACUCCUACGGGAGGCAGCAGUAGGGAAUCUUCCGCAAUGGGCGAAAGCCUGACGGAGCAACGCCGCGUGAGUGAUGAAGGUCUUCGGAUCGUAAAACUCUGUUAUUAGGGAAGAACAUAUGUGUAAGUAACUGUGCACAUCUUGACGGUACCUAAUCAGAAAGCCAGGGCUAGCUACGUG
rnacentral:rRNA from 1 species